rnacentral:rRNA from 1 species
UACGAAGGGGGCUAGCGUUGUUCGGAAUUACUGGGCGUAAAGCGUGCGCAGGCGGCUUCUCAAGUCCGGGGUGAAAGCCCAGAGCUCAACUCUGGAAUUGCCUUUGAGACUGAGUGGCUUGAGUACGGGAGAGGUGAGUGGAAUUCCCAGUGUAGAGGUGAAAUUCGUAGAUAUUGGGAAGAACACCGGUGGCGAAGGCGGCUCACUGGCCCGUAACUGACGCUCAUGCACGACAGCGUGGGGAUCAAACAGG